rnacentral:rRNA from 1 species
UGGGUAACCUGCCUCAAAGAGGGGAAUAGCCUUCCGAAAGGAAGAUUAAUACCGCAUAAUAUGUUUUAAUCGCAUGAUUUUAACAUCAAAGGAUUUUCUUAGGAAAUUCCACUUUGAGAUGGACCCGCGGCGCAUUAGCUAGUUGGUGAGGUAACGGCUCACCAAGGCAACGAUGCGUAGCCGACCUGAGAGGGUGAUCGGCCAUAUUGGAACUGAGACACGGUCCAGACUCCUAGGGAG